GGCCAACUGGCCCAAUGGCAAGGCGCUUGACUACGAAUCAAGAGUGGGUUACUAUGCUCUUUCAUUAAAUUAUCAUUUCUAACAAUAAAUUAGGAUUGCAGGUUCGAUCCCUGCGUUGGUCA